rnacentral:rRNA from 1 species
GAAUUUGCCUUUAGGAGGGGGAUAACAAUCGGAAACGAAUGCUAAUACCCCAUAUGCUUUUGAGUGAAAUGGAUUUAUCCGCCUAAAGAGAAGCUCGCGGCUGAUUAGCUUGUUGGUAAGGUAAGAGCUUACCAAGGCGACGAUCAGUAUCUGGUUUGAGAGGACGAUCAGACACACUGGAACUGAGACACGGUCCAGACUCCUACGGGAGGCAGCAGUGGGGAAUUUUCCGCAAUGGGCGCAAGCCUGACGGAGCAACGCCGCGUGAGGGAUGAAGGCCUCUGGGCUGUAAACCUCUUUUAUCAAGGAAGAAGAACUGACGGUACUUGAUGAAUAAGCCACGGCUAAUUCCGUGCCAGCAGCCGCGGUAAUACGGGAGUGGCAAGCGUUAUCCGGAAUUAUUGGGCGUAAAGCGUCCGCAGGCGGUUUUACAAGUCUGUCGUUAAAGCGUGGAGCUCAACUCCAUUUCAGCGAUGGAAACUGUAAGACUCGAGUGUGGUAGGGGCAGAGGGAAUUCCCGGUGUAGCGGUGAAAUGCGUAGAUAUCGGGAAGAACACCAGUGGCGAAAGCGCUCUGCUGGGCCAUAACUGACGCUCAUGGACGAAAGCCAGGGGAGCG